ACUCUCASUGUCUAAGCGAAAUCGUUAAGUGAUCCACCUGGGGAGUACGUUCGCAAGAAUGAAACUCAAAGGAAUUGACGGGGGCCGCACAAGCGGAGGAACAUGUGGUUUAAUUCGAUGAUCCGCGAGGAACCUUACCAAGACUUAAAUGUAGAUUGACAGAUUGUGAAAACAGUUUUUCUUCGGACAAUUUACAAGGUGCUGCAUGGUUGUCGUCAGCUCGUGCCGUGAGGUGUCGGGUUAAGUCCCAUAACGAGCGCAACCCCUAUUUUUAGUUACCAGCGAGUAAUGUCGGGAACUCUAGAAAGACUGCCUGUGUAAACAGUGAGGAAGGUGGGGAUGACGUCAAAUCAUCACGGCCCUUAUGUCUUGGGCUACACACGUGUUACAAUGGUUACUACAGUGGGCUGCCAUCUGGCAACAGAGAGCAAAUCCAUAAAGGUAAUCCCAGUUCGGAUCGGAGUCUGCAACUCGACUCUGUGAAGUUGGAUUCGCUAGUAAUCGUAUAUCAGCAAUGAUACGGUGAAUACGUUCCCGGGCCUUGUACACACCGCCCGUCAAGCCAUGGAAGUUUGUGGUGCCUGAAGUCAGUAGCCGAAAGGAGCUGCCUAGGGUAAAACAAAUAACUAGGGCUAGUCGUAACAAGGUUACUCCG
rnacentral:rRNA from 1 species